AGAGUUUGAUCCUGGCUCAGGACGAACGCUGGCGGCAUGCCUAACACAUGCAAGUCGAACGGAGAUUACUUCGGUAAUCUUAGUGGCGAACGGGUGAGUAACGCGUGGGCAACCUGCCCUCUAGAUGGGGACAACAUCCCGAAAGGGGUGCUAAUACCGAAUGUGACAGCAAUCUCGCAUGAGGAUGCUGUGAAAGAUGGCCUCUAUUUAUAAGCUAUCGCUAGAGGAUGGGCCUGCGUCUGAUUAGCUAGUUGGUGGGGUAACGGCCUACCAAGGCGAUGAUCAGUAGCCGGUCUGAGAGGAUGAACGGCCACAUUGGGACUGAGACACGGCCCAGACUCCUACGGGAGGCAGCAGUGGGGAAUCUUCCGCAAUGGGCGAAAGCCUGACGGAGCAAUGCCGCGUGAGUGAUGAAGGAAUUCGUUCUGUAAAGCUCUUUUGUUUAUGACGAAUGUGCAGAUUGUGAACAAUGAUUUGUAAUGACGGUAGUAAACGAAUAAGCCACGGCUAACUACGUGCCAGCAGCCGCGGU
rnacentral:rRNA from 1 species